rnacentral:lncRNA from 1 species
AUCAAUGCCAUUUCCUACUUUUUCUUUACGACUUGUUAUUUUCACUUCAACACUACUCUCAGAAUAUGGUCUGUUAUAUCUUCUGCUACUCUUUCUAUUUCUAUAUAACCCUUAAACUUUUAUCUUAUGGAAAAAACCCUAUCUCUGUCCUCUCCCUCUUAAAAUGCAGCCAUGUCUAUGACUUGUAUCAUAAUUGUUGCCCUUCUCAAUUUUCUUUCUCAUUCUCAUUGUUUAUAUCAUAGACAGCCUCCAUACACUCUAAGGGUAAAUCCCUUUUCUCUUCUUCUUCUUCUUCGUCCCUCUUGUGGAGUAUGUAUGCUCGUUUUUCACUUUGCAGCGUAUAUUUUUUUCAAUUGUGUGAGAUUAUUUUUGUAACGAUCCAUUCUUUUGAAUUAUUUGAAUCUUGUUUUUAGUACGCUCCUCACUCGUUUUUCUUCCCUAUGUGGGUGUCUAUUGAAUCGAGUAUACACUGUCAGCACUUUGCAAACGAUUUUUUUUUUCCAGUGAGAUUAUUUUUUAUUGUAUAGCUAGUACUUUAUCUAACUCAUGUUUAGCUUAGAUGAAAGUUAAUUUUCAGUAUAUUUUGACAAAAGAUGAUUAAAUGUCCGUUUUAAAAGUUUUGGAUCCCAUGAAUUAUGUAUUUUAGAAUAAAUCGUUGACCUGGACUUAAGUUUUAAGGAACUAUUGUAGCUUAAUCAAAGAGGGACCUAGUACGUUUCUCUUGUAGAAAGCAAAUUCAAAUUUACUCAAAUAUAUGAUGUGUACAAUUUUCAUAAAUAGGGUGGCGAAAAUACUUCAACUUAUAGUUUUUUGUGCAAUUUUUAAGUUUAAUUAUUAAAGAUGUCACAUAUAUUUAUUUAAAUCUUGUUCCGAGCAUUAUUUUAAAGGUUUGCUGAUUGUAGGGUUUGUCGAUGGAAGAAAAGGCAAGAUUGGGUUCAAUGCCACCUAGUUGUCACAACAAAUGCAACCAAUGCCACCCGUGCAUGGCGGUGCAAGUGCCACCACUGCCGAGUCACAACCGAGUACUGCCGAGUCAAACUGAAGCAACUCCAUCAUCAGAUGAGAACGAUAGGUAUUCAAAUUACAAGCCACUUGGAUGGAAGUGUAGAUGUAAUGGACACUUUUACAACCCUUAAUUUGCAUUUGAAUUUCAAUUUUCAAAUUAAUUUUUAUGGAAAUUCAUAAAUUAAGCAUUUUUUUUUAAUUUUACUUAUUUUCUAGAGUAGCAUAUGGUUGUUGGAUUUUGGAAUUUUUGUAGAGACAAGACAUAUUAAAUGGGGUAUUAAUUUAUUAGUAGCAUUUAGCAUGUGUAAAUUAAUUGAACUUGCAAAGAUAGUGGCUGAAAUUUUAACAUUG